rnacentral:tRNA from 1 species
GCUCUUGUAGCAUAGUGGUUAAUGCGCCGUACUUAUAUCAUGCGGAUAUCGGCGGUUCGAACCCGCCCUCGAGCA